AAGAGCAAGAGCAAGAGCGGCCCAUGUAAACAUUGCCCCACACUCCCUCGAUUUGGUACACGGAGAAGAUUAACCGGGUCUCCAAGGCUGUGUUUUCCAUUCAAGGUGCAGACGUCGUGGAAAACUGCACUGUGGUCACUAAACAGUCCACGAAAAGCCCAGCGACUCCUGCGAGAGGCUUUCCGGACGGCAAACUGAGGUGACAACCCGCUCAGGAGCACGGACACUCCUCACUCUUCCUCUGAAACCCCAAUCAACAAUCAAGAAUAAGACAUAAGUGGGAGCCAUUACCAAGGCAAUCCCACGCCUACUACUGGACUGGACUGGACUUACCGGGAACGUAAAAACACCCAAGAAGAAGAAAAUUGUCCCGUGUUAAGUGUACCCAAACAAUCUAUUAUUUACUUCAGCAAACGAAGGUCAUCCAGAUCGCAUUGAGAGUGGCCGCGGGACAUGGUAAGAUUGGUUCAAAAUGUUGGGGCUUCGUUGUGUUGUUUGCCGUCUGCGUGGAAGGUGUCACUCAGGAAAAGCUAAAUGGUUCCAGUCUAACCCCAACUAGUGUUAUGAAAACAGCCGUAGAUGGGCUCCUCGGCCGUCUUCUUCACGAGAGGAGUAGAGAAUUUAUAGUGGAGAUAAGAAGAGGAACAGAAAGUGAUUAUUUUAAGGUUAUUGGGGAAGGCGUUGCGGGCCAGCCAGUACGAGUGUGGGCUGGAAGUGGUGUUUCUGCGGCCCAGGGUGUGAUGACCUUUCUGAAGUAUAUGUGUCAUGCCUCGGUCUCAUGGGAGGCUGAUCUCUUGGGAAGGUUACCAGCUGUCUGGCCAAAAGGGAUCAUUGAAAAGCAGAUCUUACACAGGUACCGACACUACAACAACCCGUGUGUGUUCUCUUACUCCUACGCCUUCUGGACAUGGCAUCGCUGGGAGAGAGAGAUUGACUUAAUGGCUCUCAUGGGUGUGAACAUGGCGCUGGUACUUGAGGGUCAGGAAACUCUCUGGCGACAAGUCUACAUGGAGUUGGGGUUAACCGAUGAAGAAUUAGAGGACCACUUUGCUGGAUAUGCUUUUCUUGCGUGGGGCCGGAUGGGCAACAUUGAGAGGUGGGGCGGGCCACUCUCCCGUCACUGGAUGCAGGAAAGAUUUGAGAUCCAGAAGAAAAUUGUCAAGCGAAUGAGAGAAUUUGGUAUGCUGACUGUUCUCCCAGCAUUCUCGGGCCAUGUUCCUAAGGGAUUAUUAAGACUGUUCCCAGAUGCAAAUGUGACGAAACUGCCUGCGUGGGGUCACUUCUCUGAACCGUACACGAGAACCUAUUUCCUGGACCCAAAGGACCCUCUCUUUGUGAAAAUUGGGAAAGAAUUCAUAAGAAAGGUAAUCUUAGAAAUGGGCACAGACCACCUCUACCUCAGUGACCCAUUCAAUGAAAUGACCCCAGCAACAUCCAACCUAACUUAUUUGGCAGACGUCAGCCGCUCCAUAUAUAGAUCACUUACUAAAGGUGACCCACAGGCAAUCUGGGUGACUCAGGGCUGGAUGUUUUUCAGCGAUGAGGACUUUUGGCAAAAACCUCAGGCAAAGGCAUAUCUUACUUCAGUCCCUCAGGGCAAGAUGUUGGUCCUUGAUUUAGCCGCAGAAGUUUACCCUCAGUAUGAACGCCUGGAGAGUUUCUAUGGGCAGCCUUUUGUCUUCUGUUUACUGAACAACUAUGGAGGAGUGAGAGGUCUCUUUGGCAACGUUGGAAUUCUUAUGAAGAACCUGCAGGAGGCACAGCAGUAUCCCAACUCCAGCAUGGUUGGGACAGGCAUGACUCCAGAAGGCAUUGGGUCAAAUUAUGUAAUAUUUGAUCUUAUGUCCGAAAUGUCCUGGAGAAGCAAUAUAGAAAAUGUGGCAGAAUGGGCGGUCCAGUACUCUAGGAGGAGAUAUGGAGCUCGAAAUAAGAAGUUAGAAGAGGCGUGGAAGCUGCUGCUGGCGAGCAUCUACAAUUGUUCUCAGCCGAUCAGGUUUCAUGGACGAUUCAUUCCGUUGAUGAGGCGACCCACCCUGAGGCCAAAAACAAAGAUUUGGUACUUCCUGAAAGACUUAGUAAUGGCGUGGGACCUUCUGAUUCACACAGCUAAAGGACAUCAAAGAAACCGAAAUAUCUGUGAAAUUAAGAGACACGGCCUGAAUGUGACUGCAGCAAGAGAUCGUAAUGAAAUCCUGCUGCCAUUAAGUGGAUUCAAACCCUCUGGAAAUGAAAGCCGAGUUCAAAAGAAAAAGAACCAAAAGUGCAGAGGUCAGACUAAAGGAAAGAAAAGAACAUAUGACAGUGAUGGACACGUUUUAAAGGAAGAGCUUGAUUUAUUUGACGAAGAGACAUACAAGUACGAUCUGGUAGAAGUAACGCGGGAACUGAUGCAGAUAGCUGCUGCAACCCUCAUCAAGAGACUCAUCACCAGUUACAGAAAUGGAGAUGUUCCUGCAGUUGAGAUCCACAGCAUUCAACUACAAGACCUCAUAAAGGACAUGGAUAUACUUCUUGGGAGUAAUCCUGUUUACCUUUUGGGAAGCUGGCUCCAGAGUGCAUCCGUUUGGGCUAAUGAUACAAAGGAACACAGUUUGCUGAGACGAAAUGCCCUCUACCAAAUAAGCUUGUGGGGUCCCAACGGUGAGAUUUUGGACUACGCUGUUAAGCAGUGGAAUGGCGUCAUGAUGAAGUAUAUUGCUCCCAGAUGGGGUGCGUUCAGCUCCUCCCUCCUAUCGGCAAUGAAAGCUGGGAUUGCAUUUGAUGAGGCAAAGUUCAAGAAUUAUGUGUUUGAAACUGUUGAGAAACCUUUUGCAGAGAAUGUAAACACCUUUUUCCCACCUACACCACAAGGUGAUCCAGUGAAGCUUUCUGUGAGAAUGUAUAACAAGUAUCGUCCACUAUUCACCAGAAGAAAGCUAAUGAAACAGUAUAUGAAGUUAGUUAUGAAAGCUGAAGAAUAAGGAAAUUGGGAGGGAUUUAACCAUACGCAUUUGAGGAAAGUCCCAGGCAUGAGUGCUGAGCGACAGAGAGGUCAGACGCCCCAACCCCUCAGAAGCCAAAACUGCCAACCAGCAGCAUCCUUACUUACUCAGCUAGGGAUCCAGCUAAAGUGAUGGGCUAUGGUAACAGUAUGGUAUAUUCUGAACUGGACUAUAUCCACGUAACAAACAUAUAAAGAGCAGAUACUGGUCUGAGCUACGUAAUUUCAGGUAAAGAUACAAAACUCGAUUUAUGCGAGUUUGGUUUACGCGUUUUUUAAAUAAGGCGGGGUCCAAAAUCCAAAUAAAUGUUUAAUUUACACAUUUUUUUCACUUAUACGUGAUAUUUUAUGGAGUGGCCACCAGAUGUCUCACACAACUGGACUCACACGGCGGUGCGGCCACACAGCUGAGCUCAGUUCUUCCCACGCACCACUUGAACAACAAUACAGUACCCACGCUGCCACGCUACUCAACAACAGCAACACCCUCGCUGCUGUGCUACCACGAGGGGAAGGGCAGCCAGAGGAGGAACCACGAGAGGGAGAGGAGUCAGAGUGAUACAGUAGGCAAUAAAGGCAUGCACACUGUUGGCCCCGAGGAAGUGAUAUUGCCUCGGCCAGCACCAAGAGACAGCACCGUACACACAAACACCACCUACUUGCUCACGGCCGCCACAGCCAACUACAAGCGUUGCCAAGUCUCCCGGUGCGGUUCUCCCCUUUCAAUCGUACAUUCAGAAAGGCACGUCAGACCCAGCUAUAAAAGUGCCCCGUCCCGUCCCGCCCCGCCUACUGUAUAUACGAAGCGUUGCUCCCGCCUCAGAGGGUGGAUGAGUGCUUGAGUGUGCCUGCCUGUCUGCCCCGUGCACUCACUCGGUGCCAUUAAUAUCUGGCCACGCUGGGCAGAGUUGCCACGUGUAUCUUUUUGUGCAGAAACGGCGAUGGUGGCGCCCAUGCAUGUGUGUCGAAUGUUUUAGAUAUAUUGUAAAAAUGAAAUGGAAGUAUACUUGGAUACAAAAUAAUAAAUAGUUAAACUUUAAUAUAAUAAUACUUAAAAUACAUUUGUGUUAUGCACGUCUAUUUCGUGUGGUGAUGAAUAAUUUUCUUUGUAAACUGAAGGGUGGCAGCAACCCACACCACCACACCCAGGCGUAAGCAAAAGUUGUUUCCCUUGUUGUGCUUUCCUUCCUACCAUUGUAUCAUUUUAGUUUCAUGGUGCUGCCCACACAUGUACUAAUAGUUGUAUAAUGUCCUGCCUGGGGGUUGGGAUGGCAUGUUCCUCCCUUCUCCCUUAAUUGUUGUUUACCUGCAACAAUAAACUAUCAAUCAAUGUACUAAUAGUUGUAUAAUGUCCUGCCUGGGGGUUGGGAUGCCAUGUUCCUCCCUUCUCCCUUAAUUGUUGUUUACCUGCAACAAUAAACUAUCAAUCAAUGUACUAAUAGUUGCAUAAUGUCCUGCCUGGGGGUUGGGAUGCCAUGUUCCUCCCUUCUCCCUUAAUUGUUGUUUACCUGCAACAAUAAACUAUCAAUCAAUGUACUAAUAGUUGUAUAAUGUCCUGCCUGGGGGUUGGGAUGGCAUGUUCCUCCCUUCUCCCUUGUUGUUUACCUGCAACAAUAAACUAUCAAUCAAUGUACUAAUAGUUGCAUAAUGUCCUGCCUGGGGGUUGGGAUGGCAUGUUCCUCCCUUCUCCCUUGUUGUUUACCUGCAACAAUAAACUAUCAAUCGAUCAAUCAUCAGGCGCGGGAUGUUUAACAAACCCAGGUUUUCCUGAUAUAACAGGGAGACUGGGGGUAAAUAUUUAUUCUUCUGGUGCAGGGAACAUCCAGGGAUCAUGUGACCUAUUUCAGUUCCCGACAUGGCAGCCUCCCAUACCAAAAUUAUAUUGUGAACUAGGGAUGGCACUCGAGUUCCUUAAAAUGCGGAUUCCUUCCGUGUUGUAGAGUGAGAUGCUGCGAUCCGUUUUGAACCGAUACGGAACGCCUAUUGUUCCAUAUUUAGCUAUCUGAAUGGUCAAGCAGAUAAGACUCAGUAUCUUAAUUAAAUUUGUAGUGAGCGUAUUUUUCGGUCAGUCACAAAAACAGUCCUUUAGCGUAUGCAUUUGUUAAGGGGGGCGGGUUGUUAUAUGGGCUAAUCCCAUGUUAAAAUGUGUAUGCUCUUGUUGCUUAAUUCUCCUCCUUUAUUUUAUGAAAAAUUUAUUUAAUUCAAAAAGCAUUUUGAUCAGAAAGGAUAAGAGAAUAAAGUUUACCCUUUUAUUAUUUGUAUAAAAUAGCAAAAAAUAUUUUUUAUCGAUCGAUGAAUAAAAAAUCAGCAUAAAAAUAUUCAUCAAAAUUCAAAAUCAACAUCAAACAAAAUGUACUAGAGUAGGAAUACUUCCUUUUGCAUAGUUUUACAAAACUGGAAUAGAAAAAAGUAGUGUAAUACGAAGUUUAUAGGAUGAGAAAAAAAAGAUAACAUUUCAAGAAAGCAACCGAUGAAAGUUGGUUUGUCGGUAAAUUUGACGUGUUGAACCUAGAGACUUGCAUUUCGCAGGCUACAUACUGCAAUAUGAUAUAGAGAGUAAGUAGACAAAGUUUCCCUUACUCACCAUCACUGGUUGUGUAUAUGUUACAGGGAAAGUGUGAAAGCAGUCAUUUCAUGAAAUCCCUAGUGAAUUUGUGAAAUGGAUUUUUCAUUUUGCUAAGUUAUGGAACCUAACGUAACCUAUCCUACCCUAAACUACUCUAACCUAACCUAGCCUACCCUACCCUAAAAUAACACUAACUAUAACAUAACCUUACUUACAAAAUUAUUCAAUGUUAUGUUAUUUUAAUAAGGUUAUGUUAUGAUAAGUAAGGUUAGGUUAGUUUGGGUAGGUUAAGGUAGGUUAGGUUAGGUUAGGUUAGUUUAGAGUAGAGUAGGUAGGUUAGGUUAGUUUAGGUUAGUUUAGGGUAGGAUAGGUUACGUUAGGUUCCAUAACAUAGCAAAAUGAAAAAUCCAUUUCACAAAUUCACUAGGGAUUUCAUGAAAUGACUGAUUUCACACUUUCCCUGUUACAUAUACAGGCCUUUACCGGUACUUGACCCCACCACACAGAACAAGAUCUCAGCUUCUUCAUGAUUUUUUUCAGCAUAUUUCUGAGAAAAAACAGGGUUUCAUUUCGCAAAAUGAAUGACCUUCAAUAUCAAAAAAGGCAUCUGUAUGUACACUGGAUUUCAAAAGUAUCAGUGCAUAAUGUGCGUGAAACCUUUUGGACAACAGUACGAACAUCGAUCAGUGAAAUGUUGAUGUCCGACUUGCCACAUGUUGGUAGCCCUGAUGUCCAGAGAUGCCAUACAACUACCAGUACCGAUAUCCCCUUCCUACUAUAUAAUUAUAUAUAGCUUAUUUUAGUGUUUAUAGAAAUAGACGUUGGUCAUACAGUGUGACGUUGGUAAUUUAUCAUGGGAGACAGAUAUACGGUACCAUGGUUCACACUGGUGGCUACGUAUACAGGGCUAUCACUAUGCGCUGAUAGUGCUGGCAUGUGACAAACAACGACUCUUAUCUUGUAUCAGUACACCUAACCCCUCAUGUGUCACGUUAACACAUCACCUACGAAAUGCACUGUACAAUACUGUUAUGCCGGACGUGUUACUUGGGUUCCGUGUCGCCGUCAGGAGACUCCGUGGGAGGGAGAUAUGUAAACACUUUGCACAGCUUCUGAAUUUAAUAUUCUUCCUUAGUAGUACACUUCACUGACUCUUCACUUACCACUAGCUUACUAUGACUGGGACUGGCCCUCUCUCGCCCUCUUCUCCUAUAUAUAUCCAGAACAGUACAGUCUAGAAUGUUACAGUAUAUUUCAGAUCAUACAAGAACAUGUAGCAAAAAUAUAUG